GCUUCUAAUCCCUCAAGCCAGCCUGCAAGCCUGAGCCUGAAGCCUCAGCUCUGCCCAACUCCACCUUAUUUGGCUUUGUCUCCAGAACAUCUUUAGGGAGGGGCUGGUCUUAUGCAAGUCUGAUAACACUUUUCAUUGCCUUCUGGCUUCUUGAUCCUAGGAGCAAGCCACAUGCAGCAGUCCCUGCCACUUGGAAGCAAGGCUGUGGAGUGAAUAAGCUCCUAGCAGUAAGGAAGGAAAGCUUACCAAGCAGGAGAAUUGCCCCUUGGCCUAUGGAGGACUGCGGAGAAUAGAUCAGAAAGGGAGAUUCAUCCAGAUAAAGUAUGAGGCACCGGAAACAAGCAGGCAAUCAAAAGGCAGAGUCAAAGGAGAGAACAGAAUUGGAUGAAGAGAUGCAUCUUUGGACAGAUUUAUGGUCUCCUCGUCCACCGAAGGCGUUAUUUAUGAGAAGCAUGCAGUUAGGCCAGUGGAGAGUUUGAGAACGCAUGAAGAUGGACUUGACUCUAAACCUCAUCAUUAACUACAGCACAAAUCAUGUUCCCCAUCCAAGUACACAGGAACUUAAUGCUGGGUCUCAAGAGGUGUGCAAUUAAGUCAUAGCAGCACUGGGCAGAAGUUUUAAAUUAAACAGAUGUGAUGUAUAUUAAUGGCCUAAUGUGACAUCAAAGGAGCAGUUUGGGAUUAUUUUCUUUCUUUCUCCAAAUGGGCUUUGAUCUGGCUCUCUCUCUCACAUUGCCAGGAUUAGUGUGAUGUCUAGAGGCGCAGUGUUAGAAGUGGACUGCCACUUAAGGACUCACUGUGUGGCUGCGGCUGCCACUCACCGAAUCCAAUUUCCUGAGCAGGGUUGGAGCCAUCACCAGUUCUACCUAAAACAAAGCAAAAAAACCUCAAGGAGGCUUAGCAUAUUGUACCAACAAAUAUUGCGAAUAAAACUUUCUUUAGAGAGUCUG